AUUGAACGCUGGCGGCAUGCCUUACACAUGCAAGUCGAGCGCGAAAGGGGGCAACCCCGAGUAGAGCGGCGGACGGGUGAGUAACACAUCGGAACGUGCCCAGUAGUGGGGGACAACCUCGAGAAAUCGAGGCUAAUACCGCAUACGACCCACGGGUGAAAGCGGGGGACCGCAAGGCCUCGCGCUAUUGGAGCGGCCGAUGUCCGAUUAGCUAGUUGGCGGGGUAAGAGCCCACCAAGGCGACGAUCGGUAGCUGGUCUGAGAGGACGACCAGCCACACUGGGAUUGAGACACGGCCCAGACUCCUACGGGAGGCAGCAGUGGGGAAUUUUGGACAAUGGGGGCAACCCUGAUCCAGCCAUGCCGCGUGCGGGAAGAAGGCC
rnacentral:rRNA from 1 species